GACGAACGCUGGCGGCGUGCUUAACACAUGCAAGUCGAACGGAAAGGCCCUGCUUUUGUGGGGUGCUCGAUUGGGGAGCGGGUGAGUAACACGUGUGUAAACUGCCCUUGACUUUGGGAUAACUUCAGGAAACUGGGGCGAAUACCGGAUAGGAGCUCCUGCUGCAUGGUGUGGGUUGGAAAAUUUCGGCGGUUGUGUAUGGAAUCGCGGUUUAUCAGCUUCUUGGUGGGGUAGUGGCUUACCAAGGCUUUGACGGGUAGCCGGCCUGAGAGGGUGACCGGCCACAUUGGGACUGAGAUACGGCCCAGACUCCUACGGGAGGCAGCAGUGGGGAAUAUUGCACAAUGGGCGGAAGCAUGAUGCAGCAACGCCGCGUGCGGGAUGACGGCCUUCGGGUUGUAAACCUCUUUCGCCGGUGACGAAGCGUGAGUGACGGUAAUGGGUAAAGAAGCACCGGCUAACUACGUG
rnacentral:rRNA from 1 species